AUUGAACGCUGGCGGCAUGCCUUACACAUGCAAGUCGAACGGCAGCACGGGUGCUUGCACCUGGUGGCGAGUGGCGAACGGGUGAGUAAUACAUCGGAACAUGUCCUGUAGUGGGGGAUAGCCCGGCGAAAGCCGGAUUAAUACCGCAUACGAUCUACGGAUGAAAGCGGGGGACCUUCGGGCCUCGCGCUAUAGGGUUGGCCGAUGGCUGAUUAGCUAGUUGGUGGGGUAAAGGCCCACCAAGGCGACGAUCAGUAGCUGGUCUGAGAGGACGACCAGCCACACGGGAACGGAGACACGGCCCAGACUCCUACGGGAGGCAGCAGUGGGGAAUUUGGGACAAGGGGCGAAAGCCUGACCCAGCAAUGCCGCGUGUGUGAAGAAGGCCUUCGGGUUGUAAAGCCCUUUUGUCGGGAAAGAAAUCCUGCCCCUUAAUACGGCGGGGGGCUGACGGUACCGAAAGAAUAAGCACCGGCUAACUUCGUG
rnacentral:rRNA from 1 species